GGGUUAAGUACCCGCAACGAGCGCAACCCUACUCUUAUGUUGCCAGCACGUUAUGGUGGGGACGUCGUAAGAGACUGCCGGGGUCGAACUCGGAGGAAGGUGGGGACGACGUCAAGUCAUCAUGCCCCUUAUGUCCAGGGCUUCACACAUGCUACAAUGGCCAGUACAGAGGGCUGCGAGACCGUGAGGUGGAGCGAAUCCCUUAAAGCUGGUCUCAGUUCGGAUCGGGGUCUGCAACUCGACCCCGUGAAGUCGGAGUCGCUAGUAAUCGCAGAUCAGCAACGCUGCGGUGAAUACGUUCCCGGGCCUU
rnacentral:rRNA from 1 species